rnacentral:rRNA from 1 species
CACACGACUCUCGGCAACGGAUAUCUCGGCUCUCGCAUGCAUGAAGAACGUAGCGAAAUGCGAUACCUGGUGUGAAUUGCAGAAUCCCGCGAACCAUCGAGUCUUUGAACGCAAGUUGCGCCCGAGGCCACCCGGCCGAGGGCACGCCUGCCUGGGCGUCACGC